UACGGAGGUGGCAAGCGUUGUUCGGAAUUACUGGGCGUAAAGGUCGCGUAGGCGGCAAGGCAAGUCAGGUGUGAAAGCCCCGGGCUUAACUCGGGAAUUGCAUCUGAAACUGCUGUGCUUGAGUUCUGGAGGGGGUAGUGGAAUUCCCAGUGUAGCGGUGAAAUGCGUAGAUAUUGGGAGGAACACCUGCGGCGAAGGCGGCUACCUGGACAGAAACUGACGCUGAGGCGCGAAAGCUAGGGGAGCGAACGGG
rnacentral:rRNA from 1 species